rnacentral:rRNA from 1 species
AUUGAACGCUGGCGGCAUGCCUAACACAUGCAAGUCGAACGGCAGCACGGUCCAGUUUACUGGAUGGGUGGCGAGUGGCGGACGGGUGAGUAACGCGUAGGAAUAUGCCUUAAAGAGGGGGAUAACUUGGGGAAACUCAAGCUAAUACCGCAUAAUCUCUUAGGAGAAAAGCUGGGGACCUUUGGGCCUGGCGCUUUAAGAUUAGCCUGCGUACGAUUAGCUAGUUGGUGGGGUAAGGGCCUACCAAGGCGACGAUCGUUAGCUGGUCUGAGAGGAGGGCCAGCCACACUGGAACUGAGACACGGUCCAGACUCCUACGGGAGGCAGCAGUGGGGAAUAUUGGACAAUGGGGGGAACCCUGAUCCAGCAAUGCCGCGUGUGUGAAGAAGGCCUGAGGGUUGUAAAGCACUUUCAGUGGGGAGGAGGAUUGACAGGUUAAGAGCUAGUUAAUUGGACGUUACCCACAGAAGAAGCACCGGCUAACUCCGUGCCAGCCGCCGCCGUAA